rnacentral:rRNA from 1 species
GUAGGUGGCAAGCGUUGUCCGGAAUUAUUGGGCGUAAAGCGCGCGCAGGCGGUUCUUUAAGUCUGAUGUGAAAGCCCACGGCUCAACCGUGGAGGGUCAUUGGAAACUGGAGAACUUGAGUACAGAAGAGGAAAGCGGAAUUCCACGUGUAGCGGUGAAAUGCGUAGAGAUGUGGAGGAACACCAGUGGCGAAGGCGGCUUUCUGGUCUGUAACUGACGCUGAGGCGCGAAAGCGUGGGGGAGCAAACAGGAUUAGAUACCCUGGUAGUCCACGCCGUAAACGAUGAGUGCUAAGUGUUAGGGGGUUUCCGCCCCUUAGUGCUGCAGCUAACGCAUUGAGCACUCCCGCCUGGGGAGUACGGCCGCGAAGGCUG